AUUGAACGCUGGCGGCAGGCCUAACACAUGCAAGUCGAGCGGAGCGGCGGACGGGUGAGUAAUGCCUAGGAAUCUGCCUGGUAGCGGGGGAUAACGUCCGGAAACUGGCGCUAAUACCGCAUACUAGCAGAUGCGCCUAGGUCGGAUUAGCUCGUUGGUGGGGGAAAGGCCUACCAAGGCGAAGAUCCGUAAAUGGUCUGAGAGGCUGAUCAGUCACCCUGGAACUGGAACACGGUCCAGAGUCCUACGGGAGGCAUCAGUGGGGAAUAUUGGACAAUGGGCGAAAGCCUGAUCAAGCCAUGCCGCGUGUGGUAAGAAGGUCUUCGGAUUGUAAAGCACUUUAAGUUGGGAGGCGUUACCAACAGAAUAAGCACCGGCUAACUUCGUGCCAGCAGCCGCGGUAAUUC
rnacentral:rRNA from 1 species